UUAAAAUAAACAGUUUAAGUUCAUAAAGCUAUCAUCAAAGUGAUUUUAUCAAAUAAAAAAUAAAAAAACAAAAUUUCUUACAUGUGUGGAAUUAAAUUGGCUAAAAACUGCCUCGAAAACUGCAGUUAAAAAGCAGUUUUGAAUCAGGAAAACGGACUAAAAUAAGCUAAAUAAUGGUGUAAAAACUGAAAAGCACCAUAAAAACAAAAAAGCGAAACAACCAAAGCAAAAAUAAAUUCCCAAUUUAUAAAAAUCACAGAUUUAUUCAAAAAAACAAAAAAGUUUGAAAUUAGUAGCUAGUGUUGAAUUCGCAACGAAAAAUACAGAUUUACUCACACAUACAGUGGGAAAAUGCAGUAGACAGAUCGAUUAGAUGAAGAAAAUCAGACAUACAUGAAAUAAAUGAAGUUUAUUUCCUUUUUUGCUCUUCUAAAAUGAAUAAAAACGCAACCCGAGAGUCGUGGACCCAUCACUUCCCGCCAUGAAAAUAUAAAAAAUCUUUGGCCGCGCACGUAAAGGGAAUUGAGACUCCUUCAGCCUUCCAUGUAUAUAGUUCACUGACUAGCGUAUGCCAGCGUAUGAAAAAUAUCACUCAUACGCCGGUAUACGCUGCCAUACGCUAGGGGUACGUUAGGCAAAGGUUGUAUACGUUUCAAGCACGGUCGCGUACGGUGGCGUACGCUGGCAUACGGCGAGGCAGAAUUUUUUUUUAAGCAUGCAUGCUCAAAAAUUGUGUGCGUACCGGACGUAUGCUUUAUACGAUAAGCAUACUCUAGGCACACGCUGAAUACGCUAUAGAGGUACGCCAGAUGUAUACGGUACUCAUACGCUGGCAUUUCAAAGGAUUUUUGUGCGUAUGAAAAUUAUUUCAUUAAUUUUCAUACACUUCUCAUACGUUUCUCUCAUACGCAAUAGUGUGACAGGGCCUUAAACAUUUUUUGAGGAGGGCCAUUCGGGUCUUGAUGACUUUAAAGCACAGAUUAUCGAUAUCACGAAUAUUAAUAAACCUACAGAGAGGGAAAGUUUUUGGAUUGAAAAAUUGAAUACAUAUGUACCACUGGGAUUAAAUUUGAGGGAGGAAUAUUGAUGCAAGUCUAUACAUAUAUUAUUAGUGUAUGUUAAUUAGGAUUGGGCCGAAAGUAUUUAAGGACAUGGAUUUGAACUUAUCUCGUUUCUGAGGAAGGGGCUGUGCCCCGAAACGUAUUUAUGUAUUUAUUUGAAAUUUAAUAAAAUUUAUUUCUAACUUGAAGUUUUAUAUAAAUGAAGUUUUUUGGGGUCGAGUCAGUCUACUGUGGACUGCAUGAAGAUGAACUUAAAGCCCUUAUCAAUUUGCGGGAAAAUGCAAUGUCCUUCACGGAGUCCGCGUACGUCACUUUCAAAAGUGUGCAAGUUGAAUUUUUCGACGAUGUUGGAUAGAUCAUUUUCACCCCCUAAGGUGCCUUUUGAUCUUAGCUUUUUCCGUCAGUGAAUUCAAUAUGAAUUCAAUAGUAAAAGAAAUUGUACCAUAAGAUUAUCUUUAUAGCGAAGAGAAACGUUUAUGGAGAGAUUCUACCAAAACGGCAAUCGAUUAUUGGUUCUUUUUCCAGAUGGCACUGGCUGCUGCUAGUAUCCUUUUCAAUUAAUGAAGUUCAGUAUUUUAGAGUAGAGUUCGGCAAUGCUCUAGUUCGGCAGCGGAACAAGGUUAAAAAAUUGCAGUCAGGAAUAGAGACAUGCAGGGAGAGCUUUUGUAUUACAUAUAGCUAUAUUCAGUUAAUUGUUUGAUUUAAUUCUAGCAUGCCGUAAAUGAUCUGAUGAAACGCCUCUAGUUUAUAUUAAACUCGUCUAGUCUAAUGACGCCCCAGUGAAAUCAGCAUUUUGUCAUAAAGAACUGGUAUCUAAUAAAUACCCCCUCAAAGUGGCAUUUAUUAAAUUAACCGUUUAAUAUACGCUUAUUAGUUUGAAAGAUUAUUAUAAUAAACGUUCAUUAUUAAAUUAAACGUGUAUUAGAUUAAGCGCCUUCCGAAAAACGACAGGGAUUAGCGACAAUGCACGAAAACGAGCGCGAAAUGCAACUUGUAGUGUCGCCGAUAUGUUUCGCGGGGCCUGGGGCAAAAUUUCCGCCGGGAGCUCUAUGACAUCAUGAUUUCGAAACAGCAGAAACAGUGGUAUAUUUGGGGGCCACCCUCUACAGACCUGAAGUCGAAAGGGCCCCACAAACUGAGGCAGGCCCUCAACUUGUGAGGGGCUUAAUUUUUUUAAACCCUCUAAAAUUGGGGGCCCCUUUUCAAGUUAGGAGCUCGGGAAAAGUUGCCCUUCCCCGUAUAAGAAGAGUAAAACUGUCGUGGAAAGAACAAACACCUCUCCCUAAAAAAUGCCUCUCAGAUAAUAACCCCCCUCUCCCCUCUAUAACAGUAAGAACAUUCACGGCGUUUAUUAGAGCAUUCACCAUAGAACAUUGAUUUACAACGUUAGCAUUUUGUUGUCAUUCACUUAACAAUUGUUAGUUAUCCAAGUGGUAAUCCGGCAGUUAUUAUAUCGUCUACGGAGAAAGGAAAAUAUUCCUAUAUUCUUCAGGAGG
rnacentral:lncRNA from 1 species